rnacentral:rRNA from 1 species
GACGAACGCUGGCGGCGUGCUUAACACAUGCAAGUCGAACGAUGAAGCUGGAGCUUGCUCCGGUGGAUUAGUGGCGAACGGGUGAGUAACACGUGAGAAAUCUGCCCUUGACUCUGGGAUAACUGCGGGAAACUGUAGCUAAUACCGGAUAUUUUCCUUGGUGGGCAUCCACUGGGGAAGAAAGAAUUUCGGUCAAGGAUGAUCUCGCGGCCUAUGAGCUAGUUGGUGAGGUAAUGGCUCACCAAGGCGACGACGGGUAGCCGGCCUGAGAGGGGGGACGGCCACACUGGGACUGAGACACGGACCAGACUCCGACGGGAGGCAGCAGUAGGGAAUAUUGCACAAUGGGCGCAAGCCUGAUGCAGCAACGCCGCGUGAGGGAUGAAGGCCUUCGGGUUGUAAACCUCUUUUAGCAGGGAAGAAGCGAAAGUGACGGUACCUGCAGAAAAAGCACCGGCUAACUACGUGCCAGCAGCCGCGGUAA